rnacentral:rRNA from 1 species
GACGAACGCUGGCGGCGUGCUUAACACAUGCAAGUCGAGCGGUAAGGCCCUUUCGGGGGUACACGAGCGGCGAACGGGUGAGUAACACGUGGGUGACCUGCCCUCAGCUCUGGGAUAAGCCUGGGAAACUGGGUCUAAUACUGGAUAUGACUCCACGGUGCAUGUCGUGGGGUGGAAAGCCUUGUGCGGCUGAGGAUGGGCCCGCGGCCUAUCAGCUUGGUUGGUGGGGUGANGGCCUACCAAGGCGACGACGGGUAGCCGGCCUGAGAGGGCGACCGGCCACACGUGGGACUGAGACACGGCCCAGACUCCUACGGGAGGCAGCAGUGGGGAAUCUUGCGCAAUGGGCGAAAGCCUGACGCAGCGACGCCGCGUGA